GGAAGGGGAGCGUUUCUGCACAGCUAUUUUCAGGUCUCUCCAGAGAUGAUUGAUAGGGUUCAAUUCCGGGCUCUGGCUGGGCCGCUCAAGGACAUUGAGACUUAUCCCGAAGUCACUCCUGCGUUGUCUUGGCUGUGUGCUUUAGGGUCGUUGUCCUGUUGGAAGGUGAACCUUCGCCCCGGUCUGAGAUCUCUGGAGCAAGUUUUCAUCAAUGAUCUCUCUGUCCUUUGCUCGGUUCUUCUUUCCCUCAAUCCUGACUAGACUUUCAGUCCCUUCUGCUGAAAAACAGGUGUGUGCCUUUACAAAUCAUGUUCAAUCAAUUGAAUUUACACCGGGUGGACUCCUAUCAAGUUGUAGAUCCAUCUCAAGGUUGAUCAAUGGAAACAGGAUGCACCCAAGCUCAAUUUAGAGUCUCAGCAAAGGGUCUGAAUACUUAUUUAAUUAAGAUAUUUUUUGUAUUUUUUUUGCCAACAAAAAAAUUGCCAGCGUUUCUAAAAACCUGUUUCAGCUUUGUGUCGUUGUGGGGUACUGUGUCGUUGUGGGGUACUGCGUCGUUGUGGGGUACUGUGUCGUUGUGGGGUACUGUGUCAUUGUGUCGUUGUGGGGUACAGUGGCGUUGGGGGUAUAGUGUCGUUGUGGGGUACUGUGUCGUUGUGGGGUACAGUGUCGUUGUGGGGUACUGUGUCGUUGUGGGGUACAGUGUCGUUGUGGGGUACAGUGUCGUUGUGGGGUACUGUGGGGUAUAGUGGGGUAUAGUGUGGGGUACAGUGGGGUACAGUGUCGUUGUGGGGUACUGUGUCGUUGUGGGGUACAGUGUCGUUGUGGGGUACAGUGGCGUUGUGGCGUUGGGUAUAGUGGGGUAUAGUGUCGUUGUGGGGUACAGUGUCGUUGUGGGGUACAGUGUCGUUGUGGGGUACUGUGGGUGUGUGGGGUACAGUGUCGUUGUGGGGUACAGUGUCGUUGUGGGGUACAGUGGCGUUGUGUGGUGGCGUUGUGGGGUGUGGUGGCGU
ensembl:lncRNA